UUCAGGUGCACUGGUUGUAAAAAAACAUGCUACUGUUCUGUAGCUUGUCAGACUCAGGAUUGGAAAGCUCAUCGACAUGUCUGCAAACCUAGUGUCCCAGAAGUUGCCAGUGAUAAAACUAAGGAAUCCACAGCUAUGCCAAGUGGAAAUGGACUUGGUGGCCUUCAAACUAAGGAAAUCUGUGUUGAUGUACAGCCAAACAGAAUGUAUCGACGUGAUUUACGCAAGAAUGUUGUUUCUAAAGGAUCUGAGAUACAGGGUACAGUGAUUGACCUGAGGAACCCUGGGGAAUUCUCCAUUCACCUGCAGUCAGUGGAGAUGAUGGAGUCCCUGAAAAACAUCACCACAGUGCUCCAGAAGGCCUAUAGCACUUCAUU